GUACUGGUUUCGACGGGGGUUUUGAAGUCAGGGAAGCCAUCCGAGGCCCGGACCUCGUUAAAACCGGAUCUUAAAAUUAAACGCUGACAAUACAGAGUUAGCAGUAGCAGCGUAAGCUGUUACUUGUCGGCCCGCCCGCACCCGCACGGACGAUCACCGGCAUUAUGAUCGCGGGAAACGAUGCCGGCUAAGCUUUGCACCGGCAGGCGUAUUAUGAAGCUACCAAGAGCGGAAGGACGCUGUUCUCCGACCGUUUGCGGGAAUUAAAUAAGAACAGCUGUGAUGGGAGAUGCCUUGAGGGAUAGGCUUUCGGACGCGGGUUCGAUUCCCGCCUGGUCCA
rnacentral:tmRNA from 1 species